rfam:Heligmosomoides polygyrus genome assembly, scaffold: HPBE_scaffold0003045
GCGCCGGUGGUGUAAGGCGAACAUCGCUGCCGGGAAAGCAGAAGAUGCGAGUUCGAGUCCCGCCUGGCGCA